GUCUUAGUGAAACAUCAGAAUCUCCACUGUCACAUCUUCAACAUCACCAGUUCGUCUACUGGAACAGAUGCAGAAACAACACUGGGAACCUCAACUAGUCUUAGUGAAACAUCAGAAACUGCAGUUGUUACAUCUUCAACAUCACCAAGUUCAUCUACUGGAACAGAAUGCAGAAACAACACUGGGAACCUCAACUAGUCUUAGUGAAACAUCAGAAACUGCAGUUGUUACAUCUUCAACAUCACCAAGUUCGUCUACUGGAACAGAAGCAGAAACAACACUGGGAACCUCAACAGGUCUUAGUGAAACAUCAGAAUCUCCCACUGUCACAUCUUAACAUCACCAAGUUCGUCUACUC
ensembl:lncRNA